CCUUCAGGUCCCUCCUCUCCAGGUGGAUCAGUUCGGCCCCACGGACAUCGUGCCCCAUGAAGAUGUCUUGAUACUCGUUGAGAGAGAGAAAGCCCAGCCACGCCCCCACCUCCUCCGUCCCCCACUGGUGGACUGAGAGACCAACAGGAAGUGGGUCAGGUAAACAGGAAGUGGGUCCGGUAGACAUAGGGUAUGUCUCAAUUCCUCGGCUGUCCCGUUCCAUCGGCUCCGGAGCCGGUUUGGAGGACACAUCUGGUCUCUCCUUUGCAGCCCAGCAUAUCCCAGCAUGCAGUGCGGGUGAUCCAGCAGCACAGAGUUCACUUUUAAAUGUUACGUAACCAGUGUCGAGUUUUAAAUACACAUAAGACGCAAGAACAAAGUGGUCUUAGUUAUAACGUAACUCCGUCCU
ensembl:lncRNA